GAUGAAGAACGUAGCAAAAUGCGAUAAGUAGUGUGAAUUGCAGAAUUUAGUGAAUCAUCGAAUAUUUGAACGCACAUUGCGCCCCCUGGCAUUCCGGAGGGCAUGCCUGUCUGAGCGUCGCGAAAAGAAGAUUGAGAGCGCGUGCCCGAGAGGGCCCGCCUCUCGGUUGGGUGCCUGUCCCAUGCUCGCUUCAACUGGCGGGUGGGACCGGCCCUGAAAUGCAUUGGCGAUGACCGCGCCCACAGCCCCAUGAGCAGUAGAUACCGCUCGAGAGGCUAGGGAGGUCGUGCUCCAGCAAGCCCACGUGGCUGACACCACACAUCAGUCUGGCCUCAGAUCAGGUAGGGAUACCCGCUGAACUUAAGCAUAUCAAUAAGCGGAGGA
rnacentral:misc_RNA from 1 species